AUUGAACGCUGGCGGCAGGCUUAACACAUGCAAGUCGAGCGGAGAUGAGGUGCUUGCACCUUAUCUUAGCGGCGGACGGGUGAGUAAUGCUUAGGAAUCUGCCUAUUAGCGGGGGACAACAUUCCGAAAGGAAUGCUAAUACCGCAUACGUCCUACGGGAGAAAGCAGGGGAUCUUCGGACCUUGCGCUAAUAGAUGAGCCUAAGUCGGAUUAGCUAGUUGGUGGGGUAAAGGCCUACCAAGGCGACGAUCUGUAGCGGGUCUGAGAGGAUGAUCCGCCACACUGGGACUGAGACACGGGCCAGACUCCUACGGGAGGCAGCAGUGGGGAAUAUUGGACAAUGGGGGGAACCCUGAUCCAGCCAUGCCGCGUGUGUGAAGAAGGCCUUAUGGUUGUAAAGCACUUUAAGCGAGGAGGAGGCUACUGAGACUAAUACUCUUGGAUAGUGGACGUUACUCGCAGAAUAAGCACCGGCUAACUCUGUGCCAGCCGCCGCGGUAA
rnacentral:rRNA from 1 species